CCCUUAGAUGUUCUGGGCCGCACGCGCGCUACACUGAUGCAUUCAACGAGUCCAACCUUGACCGAGAGGUCCGGGUAAUCUUUGAAACUGCAUCGUGAUGGGUCUAGAUUAUUGCAAUUAUUAAUCUUCAACGAGGAAUGCCUAGUAAGCGUGAUUCAUCAAAUCGCGUUGAUUACGUCCCUGCCCUUUGUACACACCGCCCGUCGCUCCUACCGAUUGAGUGUGUUGGUGAGGAGUUUGGAUUGGCCUCGGAAGGUGGUUCGCCACCGUCCGUAGCUGAGAAGUUCUCCAAACCGCCCCACUUAGAGGAAGGAGAAGUCGUAACA
rnacentral:rRNA from 1 species